rnacentral:tRNA from 1 species
GCCCCUGUAGCCCAAUCGGCAGAGGCGAUGGACUCAAAAUCCAUACAGUGUGGGUUCGAAUCCCACCGGGGGCA